AGAGCGCGUAUAGCUGACACUUCGUUUCUCCCUGUUCCCUUUUCUUACGCCCAUUACAGCUCGCCCGCGGUCUCGUUGCUUGGGGAGCUUUUGCCGCACCCAUCACCGAUCUCCCUACUCGUCAAUCUCGACGCCACUGGGCGCCCCCUUGCCCACAUCGAAGACCUCCCCGCCAUACCACCCUAUUCCCUUCUUCACAUUUGUUGCGAUUCCACCGUAGGCGCCUUUUUUUGUCUCGGGUUUGCGUUUGUUCGAGAUCGUUGCGUUCCGCAUCAACAUACACGCAGACACUCAUAUCCUCAUACGCGUCCUGUGCGACCGUGCUUUUCGGACCCUCUCUGUUCGCGAGGUCGGCCACCAACGCAAACAACCCCCCAACCCGCCCAACAAUGGUCCAACUGUCGCUCAUUGAGGAGAUCAAGGAUAAGGCGUUACGCCUUAUGCCGAACCCUUACGCCGACAUUGUUGAGGAGUGCACCGCCCCGCAACUCCUCAUUCCAACCUACGAGCACGUCAAGUUUCUCUGUGAGACGGUGAACAAGAAACCCGAGUCGACCGUUGACGUUGUGCGAGCAAUCCGGCGCCGUAUCGCGGACUCUCAUGUCGCCGUCAAGCACCUGACGAUCCAGUUGCUGGAGUCGAUGAUCAAGAGCUGCUCAACAUGGUUUCAUAUCGAAGUGGCGACGCAGAAGGGUCUUCUGCGCGAUCUGGUUGCCGUCGCGUGCGUGCAGCCGACGACCGGCCGCGCGAUGCAAGCGAAAGAGUCAGCGCUCUUGCUGACGCUCAACCUCAGCAUCUGGUUUCGCGGCCACCCCGCCGAGGAGUGCUACAUCCUCACAACGCUUGCCGACGACGUCCGCAACCAAAUGGGGCCGAAUUGCUUCGAGGGCCUCGAACCGGAACGCAACGCACGCAUGAAGGUGGAGGUUCACGCCCCCAACCGCAAUCGACGACAGCCAGGUCAGCGCUCGGAUGCUGGCCAUGACUACCAAGGGGAACGCUCGCAUGGUCAUCACCGCGACAAGCGCAGUGUCGUGGACGCCAUCGCAAUCAACCUCCCCACCUCUGAGCGUGUGUCGGCGAUGCUGGAAAUGUGCAUGACCUUUUCUGAUUACGUUAACAACACCGAGACGAAUCCCAAUGUAUGUUUGCGCGAUGACGAGGUUGUGCAGAGCUACUUGUCGCAGCUGCGUGAAGACCACAUUUACGUCACAAUUCUACUGUCCUCGAACCUGCAGCUGGACCGCGACUUACUCCGGACCGUCUCUGACAGUCAGUCGGCUGUGCUGGCGAAGGUUGAGAAGUCGAUGGCACGGCCGCGCGCUGACGCCACGCCCGAAGGGUCGUCAGCGUUGCCGCCAGCACUGCAGCAAACCCUAAUGCGCUCCGCUGUUGACACGGAGCAGAACAGCAGCGGCGUCUCUGCUUUUCAGGAGACGGGGAUGCAACAACGCCCGCCACCGCGCGCUGAGGUGCCGAGCGGGAGCGUGGGCAUGGCGGGCACCUCUCCGGCGCCGGUGUCUACUCCGCCCCUCGCCGCUGCGCCAGUGGCGGAGGACUUGUUUGGGAACGGGCAGUCUGCGCCACAGGCUACGCCUUCAAUGCCCAAGUUACCCGUGCCAUCAAUGGAGGAGCCGGGGUCGCCGCCGGCGCGAUCUCCUCCGGCGGCGUCGCCUGAGGAGACUGCCGACGCCGUGGAGCCUGCUGUGGGCGACUUCGCGACAACCGCACCGACUAGUUCCAAUGCUGCGGCGCCGUCACUCAUGCGUGCAGAGGCAGGUGACGCGGCUGGGGCGGAGGAGGUGCCUGCGCCGCUCCAGCAUGCAGUAUCACAGUCCACCUCGGCAGCGGAGGCUGCAGCGGCUCCCGCCCCCCCGACCGCGGACUUAUCAAAGGACGCGGAUGACUUCGAUGCCUUCCUUGAAGGUCACGGCGUCAGCUAGACGGAAAAAAAAAUGCGCCGGUGCGUGAGGUACCUGCUGAUCCUCUUGGCGCUAUCGGCCUCCCGAUGUUUUCGACGUCCUCAUAUCAGCUCAGAAAUGGGAUUGGUCGGUGCUGCUAGAAGGAGGGGCAGACUUCUCCGUUACUUUGUUGAGCAGGGAUGUGCGAGCGGCUUCUGUGCGGCUUUGCCAGUCAGUCUGUGUGCAUUCGGCCUUCUACUCCCCUCCCCUCCCCUCCCCGGACUUCCCAGCCUCACCACCAUCCUUCGGGUUGCAUUUUGCUUUCUCUCUCUUCUCUGCGACUGUUCACCACCGCAUACGCGUGAUGGCUUUGAUGGCGGUGGUGGCGGCGUCUCUCUGCGUCUCUCUAUCUGUGCCUGUACCCGGGCGCUCCGUUGCUUUUUCACCGUUUUUCCUUCUUCCCGUUUUCUUUUUUUUUGUCUGCAUGUGUGUGUGUGUGUGUAUAUGCGCGUGUGCGUUCGGUUUUCUCGCUCGUGUAGCCCGAUGCACGUCGCCUUAUCUCUCGUCCUCUCUCCCCGGCUUGUUGUGACUGUAACGCUCACGUCGGUGAGGACGCCGAUGUACGUGUAUGUUGUUUUUUUCGUGUGUGUGUGUGGGGACUUGGGCGGCCUUCACGGGUUCACUACUCCCUUCUACCAUCCCUCACCCCUUCAUACAAGCCAGAGAUGCACACAAUCGCCAACCUACUCUCGAAAGCCCCCCCCCCCCAAACAAACAAACAAACAACAGACACCUACCUACGCGAUGAUGCGUGGAUGAUACACAGGUGGCUUUCCUAGCGUCGCGUUCUCUGCCUCCGUUUCGUUUUUCUGUCUCUUGACGUGUGCCUGUCUCUUCCCCUCUCCCCGUCUCUCUCUCUUGUGCCGUAG
rnacentral:misc_RNA from 1 species